CUGAGGACUAUUUCACAGGAACAUCAUGCAGUGUUAGGUCCUGUGGCUCUCAGGAGGGUACAGCUCCCAGAAUCAGCUCCAGGGUGAAUGCAAGACAGCCUUCGCCAGGUCCAUGUAGGGGGAAGAGGAAUUAGUCUAUUUAGAGGGGUUUUUCAAAAGCAUUUGUCCACCCACUUAACAUGGGCCCUGCUUUAUUUGCUGCUCCUCCACUUCCCUCAUGCCAGGGAUUAGUGCAGCCCCUGGCCACUUUGUCUCCAUUUGCAACCCUGUCAUCAGCCCGAGAUACAUGACCUUGUGACAUGUAAAAAAGCACACAAGGUCCCUGAUUAACUUCAGAGUAUUUUAUUUCUUUAGAGAAAAGAAAAACACUUCAAAAGAAUAACUCUUGAACAGAAUCAAAUCGCAGUCACUGGCAAGUGUUUAACAAAAUUACCAGGGAAGCGAAAGUGAAAUCCAUCGAUGUAAUGCUGUCUGUGCAGCAGCCAUAGCACAAACCGUGACCCUGCAUCGCCGCCGUGGUCCUGAGCUCUGUCUGGCAGGAGCCAACACGAAACGUUGCUGACACAGAGGACAGUCAGGCAUGUAAAUCCAGAAGGGGAAGACACAGUGCAAUCCUUCAGAGAAGCAGCUCAGCCAAUGAGGACAAAGGGAGCAUGAUGAAGGCAUAGACUCCUCUUAACUUGAGACCUGACAGCAUAUCCAUGGCCAUCUCCACCAAACGCGGUUGCAAGAAACGUGACAGCGAAUCUUUUCCCCUGUGCCCGGGGAGGUGGAGGCGCGGACCUCGGGCGCCGCACGGGCUCAGCACCGCGGACAGCGCCCACCCCGCCGCGUGGCCGCGUUCCCGCGUGUGCGCGGAGCCUCAGGGGCUUCAAUCUGAAGCCUCCACUGCUCCUUCCAGCCCUAUGGUUGUGUCUGGGAACUGCUAGGAAUAUCGCACUGUGACAGUCGGUCAGGCCAGACCAUGCAGACCUAGGUUGGCAUUCAGAAAGCCCCGGUUCUAGCACUUUGUCUAUUCGUUUUCCCUAUAUGUAUUCCUCCCACGCUCAUUUAUACCAUUUGCAGGUAUAAACUCUCUCCUGCUAUGCAUUUACAUAAUUAGGCCAGUCAGUAAGCACUGCUUUAAUAUGAAUAACAACAAUAAAUUGCUUUUCUAUACUUCAGCGUACAGUAAAUGCUGAAAACUAUAGCUUUGACAUCAAGCUAUUUAACGAACUGUAAUGCCAGUUUAUAUUAAAACCAAGAUAAAUUAUAAUUUUCUACCUGUGGAUAUAACACCACUAUUAAAUACAAUUAUUAACUUCCAUGAGACUAUAUUAAUGAAAAAGAGAUUUAAGAAAUUCAGUUGUUUGAGAACUUCCAAGAAGUUAACUUGCUGGAUAUAUUUAUACAUAAACAUGCUUCUGCUAAGAGAGUCCUUGAAACAGCCUAAACUUCGUGACUAAUUGGCAUGCUUAUGCGGAUAAGACAGAAGGCAAGAUGGAGAAUUUCAGUGACAAAUAAGAUUUGCUAUGUUCAGUUCUGCUGGCCAAAGCAGUGAGAAUUCCGACAGAACAAAUCCAGGACAGACAGGUAAUAAUAAGGGAAUAAAAGCAUAAAGCAAUUUAUUUCCUGUAAACUGCAUCAACAUGGAAGGGUCCUUGAGGAAGUAUUUCUGCCUCUAUAUGGCUCUCUAAUGCAUGUAGAUGAGAAGUAUGAUCUCUUUCAAUCAAGAUCCUGAAAUGGCUCUGGUGCAGCAACUGGUGAAAAGCUGAGUAUUUUUACCUUGGUUACUCUAAACUUCAUUGCUUAAGAUUCAAAGGCAAAGACAACAAAAGUUUCAGCCAGGAUAUUCUUGACUUUUCAUACAGAAUUAUUAGAUGUCCUACUGUAAGUCCUGGAUGUGUGAAGACUUGUAGCAUUAGAGGCAAGAGGUCACAAAUACCAGAAGAAAGAGAAAACCUAAUUCAGCUUAUGUAAGAUACAAUUCUUAUAUAUGAUGUGCUUCCUGUUUAACAGCUGCAGAUUAAGAAGGUGGUGGGCUUCUGUACUUGCAGAGUUUGAUUUGGCAGGCAGUUGUAGUUGGCAAAGCAUGGGGAUUGCCCAACUGUGUAUGGGUUAAUAUCAAAUCUAUUAAUUCCCUAGAGUUCUUGAAUACCAAUCAAAGGGGUUUGUUCCUUUUAAUACACCUUGCAACAACACUAGCAAGAAAUAUCUUUAGUCUCAAUUAAUAUAAGUGUUCAUCUGCUGGAAGAUUUCUAAAGUACUUUUCUAGAACUGGUGUAGCAAAGGGGUAUAGGACUUGCAUUUAUAAUUUUUCCAUUGCUGGAAAUGUUUAUUAAGAAUAGACAAUUUUUCCUCUGCAUUCAGGAUUCAGGUCCAGAACUCAAUGGGAUUCAAUACACAUGAGGUACUGUGCUUUAGUCUACAUAACAAUUUAAAGAGAUGUCAAAGAAAAUUUGCUUUUGGAGCAAUGCAUUCUAUAACUUAG